rnacentral:SRP_RNA from 1 species
GCCGGGCGUGGUGGCGCGUGCCUGUAGUCUCAGCUACUCGGGUGGCUGAGGUGGGAGGAUGGCUUGAGCCUAGGAGUUCUGGGCUGUAGUGAGCUAUGCUGAUCGGGUGUCCGCACUAAGUUCGGCAUCAAUAUGGUGACCUCCCGGGAGCGGGGGACCACCAGGUUGCCUAAGGAGGAGUGAACCGGCCCAGGUCGGAAACAGAGCAGGUCAAAACUCUUGUGCUGAUCAGUAGUGGGAUCGCCCCUGUGAAUAGCCACUGCACUCCAGCCUGGGCAACAUAGCGAGACCCUGUCUCU